rnacentral:rRNA from 1 species
UACGUAGGGAGCAAGCGUUGUCCGGAAUCAUUGGGCGUAAAGCGCGCGUAGGCGGCUUCGUAAGUCCGUUGUGAAAGUCCAAGGCUCAACCUUUGAAAGCCGAUGGAUACUGCGGAGCUAGAGUACGGAAGAGGCGAGUGGAAUUCCUGGUGUAGCGGUGGAAUGCGCAGAUAUCAGGAGGAACACCAAUAGCGAAGGCAGCUCGCUGGGACGUUACUGACGCUGAGGCGCGAAAGCGUGGGGAGCGAACAGG